rnacentral:lncRNA from 1 species
CUCAUUCCAUUCCAUCCCAUUCCAUUCCAUUCCAUUCCAUUCCAUUCCAUUCCAUUCCAUUCCAUUCCAUUCCAUUCCAUUCGUGUUGAUUCCAUUCCAUUCCAUUCCAUUCUAUUGCAUUCCAUUCCAUUUCAUUCCAUUCCGUUGCAUUCCAUUCCAUUCUAUUCCAUUCCAUUCCACUCGGGUUGAUUCCAUUCCAUUGCAUUUCCUUUCUUCCAUUCCAUUCCAUUCCACUCGUGAUGAUAAAAUUCCAUUCCACUCCCUUCCAUUCCAUUGCAUUCCAUUCCUUUCAACUCGGGUUGAUUCCAUUCCAUUCCAUUCCAUUUCCUUCUAUUCCAUUCCUUUCCACUCGGGUUGAUUCCAUUCCAAUUCAUUCCAUUCCAUU